AAGUCGUAACAAGGUUUCCGUAGGUGAACCUGCGGAAGGAUCAUUACAAAUAUAUGGUUAACGCCAACAUUUCAUGUGCAACUUAUUGACGCUGCCAGAAUUUCGAAAAGUUUUUGGAUUUUUCGAUGCCUGGCAGCAAACCCGACCGCUUGAAUCAAUAAUGUACUUUAGUGAUUUAAUGCAUGAUACAAGCGGUCAGCGGGCCUCUCGUUGUUGUUCUCGGAUAACAAUUGAUGUCCGUCUUUUACAACAUUAUAACAUCAGUCUUAUUUAUCUUCAUCAGACAGUAGCAAUUCAGCGAAAUGUGAUGACAUAAAAGGGUUAAAAACUUUUAGCAACGGAUCUCUAGGCUCUC
rnacentral:misc_RNA from 1 species